rnacentral:rRNA from 1 species
GAUGAACGCUGGCGGCGUGCCUAAUACAUGCAAGUCGAGCGAACAGACGAGGAGCUUGCUCCUCUGACGUUAGCGGCGGACGGGUGAGUAACACGUGUAUAACCUACCUGUAAGACUGGGAUAACUUCGGGAAACCGGAUCUAAUACCGUAUAAUAUAUUGAACCGCAUGGUUCGAUAGUGAAAUACGGUUUUUCUGUCACUUAUAGAUGGAUCCGCGCCGCAUUAGGUGGUUGGUAAGGUCACGGCUUACCAAGGCAACGAUGCGUAGACGAACUGAGAGGGUGAUCGGCCACACGGGAGGUGAGACGCGGUCAAUGCUCCUACGGUAGGCAGCAGUAGGGAAUCUUCCGCAGUGGGCGAAAGCCUGACGGAGCAACGCCGAGUGAGUGAUGAAGGUCUUGGGAUCGUAAAACUCUGUUAUGAGGGAAGAACAAAUGUGGAAGUAACUAUGCACGUCUUGACGGUACCUAAUAAGAAAGCAACGGCUAACUACGUG